rnacentral:rRNA from 1 species
CCUACGGGAGGCAGCAGUCUAGAAUAUUGCGCAAUGGGGGAAACCCUGACGCAGCGACGCCGCGUGGAGGAUGAAAUCCCUCGGGAUUUAAACUCCUUUCGUGAGGGAAGAAAUCAAGCAGGUAAAUAAUCUGCUUGGAUGACGGUACCUCAAGAAGAAGCCCCGGCUAACUACGUGCCAGCAGCCGCGGUAAAACGUAGGGGGCGAGCGUUGUCCGGAAUUACUGGGCGUAAAGAGCUCGUAGGCGGAAAAAUAAGGCAGAGGUAAAAUUCCAAGGCUUAACCUGGAAACUGCCUUUGAAACUAUUUUUCUAGAGUGUAGAAGAGGAUGGUGGAAUUCCCGAUGUAGCGGUAAAAUGCGCAGAUAUCGGGAGGAACACCGGUGGCGAAAGCGGCCAUCUGGUCUAUUACUGACGCUGAGGAGCGAAAGCUAGGGGAGCAAACAGGAUUAGAUCCCCCGGUAGU